rnacentral:rRNA from 1 species
GGCGAACGGGUAGAGUAACACGUGAGCAAUCUGCCUCUGGCUUCGGGAUAAGCCCGGGAAACCGGGUCUAAUACCGGAUAUGACUUCCUGCCGCAUGGUGGGGGGUGGAAAGAUUUAUCGGCCUGAGAUGAGCUCGCGGCUAUCAGCUUGUUGGUGGGGUAGUGGCCUACCAAGGCGACGACGGGUAGCCGGCCUGAGAGGGUGGACGGCCACACUGGGACUGAGACACGGCCCAGACUCCUACGGGAGGCAGCAGUGGGGAAUCUUGCGCAAUGGGCGAAAGCCUGACGCAGCGACGCCGCGUGGGGGAUGACGGCCUUCGGGUUGUAAACCUCUUUCAGCAGGGAAGAAGCCGCAAGGUGACGGUACCUGCAGAAGAAGCACCGGCUAACUACGUGCCAGCAGCCGCGG